GAUGAACGCUGGCGGCGUGCCUAAUACAUGCAAGUCGAGCGGAAAGGUCUCUUCGGAGAUACUCGAGCGGCGGACGGCUGAGUAACGCGUAGGAACGUACCCCAAACUGAGGGAUAACUGCUCGAAAGAGUAGCUAAUACCGCAUGUGCUCUACGGAGUAAAGCUUCGGCGGUUUGGGAACGGCCUGCGUAAGAUUAGCUUGUUGGUGAGGUAAUGGCUCACCAAGGCGACGAUCUUUAGCUGGUCUGAGAGGAUGAUCAGCCAGACUGGGACUGAGACACGGCCCAGACUCCUACGGGAGGCAGCAGUAGGGAAUUUUCCACAAUGGGCGAAAGCCUGAUGGAGCAACGCCGCGUGCAGGAUGAAGGCUUUCGGGUCGUAAACUGCUUUUAUAUGUGACGAUUUUGACGGUAGCAUAUGAAUAAGGAUCGGCUAACUCCGUGCCAGCAGCCGCGGUAA
rnacentral:rRNA from 1 species